rnacentral:rRNA from 1 species
CGAAACUGCGAAUGGCUCAUUAUAUAAGUUAUCGUUUAUUUGAUAGUACAUUACUACUUGGAUAACCGUGGUAAUUCUAGAGCUAAUACAUGCUAAAAAUCCCGACUUCGGAAGGGAUGUAUUUAUUAGAUUAAAAACCAAUGCCCUUCGGGGCUCACUGGUGAUUCAUAAUAACUUCUCGAAUCGCAUGGCCUUGCGCUGGCGAUGGUUCAUUCAAAUUUCUUCCCUAUCAACUUUCGAUGCUAGAGUAUUGUUCUAGCAUGGUUACAACGGGUAACGGAGGGUUAGGGCUCGACCCCGGAGAAGGAGCCUGAGAGACGGCUACUACAUCCAAGGAAGGCAGCAGGCGCGCAAAUUACCCAAUCCCGACUCGGGGAGGUAGUGACGAUAAAUACUGAUACAGGGCUCUUUUGGGUCUUGUAAUUGGAAUGAGUACAAUUUAAAUCCCUUAACGAGGAACAAUUGGAGGGCAAGUCUGGUGCCAGCAGCCGCGGUAAUUCCAGCUCCAAUAGCGUAUAUUAAAGUUGUUGUGGUUAAAAAGCUCGUAGUAGAACCUUGGGCCUGGCUGGCCGGUCCGCCUCACCGCGUGUACUGGUCCGGCCGGGCCUUUCCCUCUGUGGAACCGCAUGUCCUUCACUGGGUGUGUCGGGGAAACAGGACUUUUACUUUGAAAAAAUUAGAGUGCUCCAGGCAGGCCUAUGCUCGAAUACAUUAGCAUGGAAUAAUGAAAUAGGACGUGUGGUUCUAUUUUGUUGGUUUCUAGGACCGCCGUAAUGAUUAAUAGGGACAGUCGGGGGCAUCAGUAUUCAAUUGUCAGAGGUGAAAUUCUUGGAUUUAUUGAAGACUAACUACUGCGAAAGCAUUUGCCAAGGAUGUUUUCAUUUAUCAGGAACGAAAGUUAGGGGAUCGAAGACGAUCAGAUACCGUCGUAGUCUUAACCAUAAACUAUGCCGACUAGGGAUCGGACGAUGUUAUUUUUUGACUCGUUCGGCACCUUACGAGAAAUCAA